rnacentral:rRNA from 1 species
AGGGAUCAUUACCGAGUUUACAACUCCCAAACCCAAUGUGAACCAUACCAAACUGUUGCCUCGGCGGGGUCACGCCCCGGGUGCGUCGCAGCCCCGGAACCAGGCGCCCGCCGGAGGGACCAACCAAACUCUUUUCCGUAGUCCUCUCGCGGACGUUAUUUCUUACAGCUCUGAGCAAAAAUUCAAAAUGAAUCAAAACUUUCAACAACGGAUCUCUUGGUUCUGGCAUCGAUGAAGAACGCAGCGAAAUGCGAUAAGUAAUGUGAAUUGCAGAAUUCAGUGAAUCAUCGAAUCUUUGAACGCACAUUGCGCCCGCCAGUAUUCUGGCGGGCAUGCCUGUCCGAGCGUCAUUUCAACCCUCGAACCCCUCCGGGGGGUCGGCGUUGGGGAUCGGGAACCCCUAAGACGGGAUCCCGGCCCCGAAAUACAGUGGCGGUCUCGCCGCAGCCUCUCCUGCGCAGUAGUUUGCACAACUCGCACCGGGAGCGCGGCGCGUCCACGUCCGUAAAACACCCAACUUCUGAAAUGUUGACCUCGGAUCAGGUAGGAAUACCCGCUGAACUUAA